rnacentral:rRNA from 1 species
GACGAACGCUGGCGGCGUGCUUAACACAUGCAAGUCGAACGGUAAGGCCCUUCGGGGUACACGAGUGGCGAACGGGUGAGUAACACGUGGGUGAUCUGCCCUGCACUUCGGGAUAAGCCUGGGAAACUGGGUCUAAUACCGGAUAGGACCACUGCCUGCAUGGGUGGUGGUGGAAAGCUUUUGCGGUGUGGGAUGGGCCCGCGGCCUAUCAGCUUGUUGGUGGGGUGAUGGCCUACCAAGGCGACGAUGGGUAGCCGGCCUGAGAGGGUGUCCGGCCACAUUGGGACUGGGAUACGGCCCAGACUCCUACGGGAGGCAGCAGUAGGGAAUUUUGCGCAAUGGGGGAAACCCUGACGCAGCAACGCCAUGUGUGGGAUGACGCAUUUCGGUGUGUAAACCACUGUCGGCAGGGAAUAAAGCCCGCAUUUAUGUGGGGGUGAAUGUACCUGCAAAGGAAGCCCCGGCUAACUUCGUGCCAGCCGCCGCGGUAA